rnacentral:rRNA from 1 species
UCGGGAAUUUUGCGCAAUGGGCGAAAGCCUGACGCAGCAACGCCGCGUGAGGGAUGACGGCCUUCGGGUUGUAAACCUCUUUUGUCAGGGAAGAUGAUGACGGUACCUGACGAAUAAGCCACGGCUAACUACGUGCCAGCAGCCGCGGUAAUACGUAGGUGGCAAGCGUUGUCCGGAUUUACUGGGCGUAAAGAGCGCGCAGGCGGUCGAUUUAGUCGCGUGUGAAAGCCCCCGGCUCAACUGGGGAGGGUCACGCGAUACUGAUCGACUCGAAGGCAGGAGAGGGUAGUGGAAUUCCCGGUGUAGUGGUGAAAUUCGUAGAUAUCUGGAGGAACACCGGUGGCGAAGGCGGCAUCCUGGACCGACAUUGACGCUGAGGCGCGAAAGCCAGGGGAGCAAA